CCUACGGGUGGCAGCAGUAGGGAAUAUUGCUCAAUGGGGGCAACCCUGAAGCAGCAACGCCGCGUGGAGGAUGACGGUUUUCGGAUUGUAAAAUCCUUUUGUUAGAGAAGAUAAUGACAGUAUCUAACGAAUAAGCACCGGCUAACUCCGUGCCAGCAGCCGCGGUAAUACGGAGGGUGCAAGCGUUACUCGGAAUCACUGGGCGUAAAGGGCGCGUAGGCGGGAUAGCAAGUCAGAUGUGAAAUCCUAUGGCUUAACCAUAGAACUGCAUUUGAAACUGGUAUUCUAGAGUAUGGGAGAGGUAGGUGGAAUUCGUGGUGUAGGGGUAAAAUCCGUAGAGAUCAAGAGGAAUACUCAUUGCGAAGGCGACCUGCUAGAACAUAACUGACGCUGAUGCGCGAAAGCGUGGGGAGCAAACAGGAUUAGAUACCCCUGUAGUG
rnacentral:rRNA from 1 species